UGAGGAAUAUUGCGCAAUGAGCGAAAGCUAGACGCAGCAACGCCGCGUGGGUGAUGAAGGCCUUCGGGUUGUAAAACCCUUUUCUGGGGAAAUAGAAAGGAAGGUACCCCAGGAAUAAGAGUCGGCUAACUACGUGCCAGCAGCCGCGGUAAAACGUAGGACUCAAGCGUUAUCCGGAUUUAUUGGGCGUAAAGCGCGUGCAGGCGGCGCGGUAAGUUGAACGUUAAAGCUCCUGGCUCAACUGGGAGAGGCCGUUCAAUACUGCCGUGCUUGAGGGCGACAGAGGAGAGUGGAAUUCCCGGUGUAGUGGUGAAAUGCGUAGAUAUCGGGAGGAACACCAGUGGCGAAGGCGGCUCUCUGGGUCGCACCUGACGCUCAGACGCGAAAGCUAGGGUAGCGAACG
rnacentral:rRNA from 1 species